AGUGCGAUUUCAGCAUGUUACAGGUGUCUUUCUCCUCAAGUUCCCUUACAGAUCCCAACCUGUAUCUUUUAUUAGGUAGCACAAGGGACAUGGACCCCAGAGUGUACACCUGUAUUGGUGAUGAGCGGUUUCACAUUUGGUGCCAAUUAGAGACGUUCCAGGCUACUGAUACAGUUACAAACACUGAUUCUCAGAAACAUGUGAAAUGUGUGGACCAGCUUCUGAUCAAUUCAUUCCAAAGGAGCAGCAGCACCAGUGACUUCAGCUGAGUCACUCCUGAUUUAUAGAUCUGAUUCAUACACAAUAAAAGAGCCUGGCCCU